rnacentral:rRNA from 1 species
GAUGAACGCUGGCGGCGUGCCUAAUACAUGCAAGUCGAGCGAACGGACGAGAAGCUUGCUUCUCUGACGUUAGCGGCGGACGGGUGAGUAACACGUAGGUAACCUACCUAUAAGACUGGGAUAACUUCGGGAAACCGGAGCUAAUACCGGAUAAUAUUUUGAACCGCAUGGUUCAAUAGUGAAAGAUGGUCUUGCUAUCACUUAUAGAUGGACCUGCGCCGCAUUAGCUAGUUGGUAAGGUAACGGCUUACCAAGGCAACGAUACGUAGCCGACCUGAGAGGGUGAUCGGCCACACUGGAACUGAGACACGGUCCAGACUCCUACGGGAGGCAGCAGUAGGGAAUCUUCCGCAAUGGGCGAAAGCCUGACGGAGCAACGCCGCGUGAGUGAUGAAGGUCUUCGGAUCGUAAAACUCUGUUAUUAGGGAAGAACAAAUGUGUAAGUAACUGUGCACGUCUUGACGGUACCUAAUCAGAAAGCCACGGCUAACUACGUG